AUGAAGGCCGGGCGCCCAGCUCUGCCCUCGUCACCCCACCUCCAGGGAGGAAAUGUGGUUCCAGGCCCUCGCCGGCCUCCGUCUUCCCACCUGGACGGCAACUCUGAUCGGGCUGUUUGCACCUGCGAAAGGCCUCCCCGGAGACCAGCCCCUGGUCUGGCAGGGCCCCCGGCCUCCUUCCCACUGAAGUCGGCGUGGAGGUCGCUGGCCUCCAACGAUGAGCCCGCCCGAGCUUGGGGGGUCUGGGGAGGACCCGGCGCUUGGACCCCGUCUUCCAACAGAAGCCAGGGGACCGAGGAACCCGAAGCUCCUGCCCAACGGCUCAGUCGGCACGUCCCCGCCCUUCGAGAUCCAGCGUUUCCUUUUGUCGCCUCGUCAUGUGACGAAUGUCAUUCGAAACGCCCGUCAGUCCUCAGCGUUUAUCGCAAAAGCCACCCCCGCCUGGAUUCCCACCCCCGCCCCGGAAGCGAAGGUUGGCCGCGUUCAGCUUUUCGCCUGUCUUGGCCUUGCUUUGGUUUUGCGGGUUUGGCACUUGGCUCCCCGUUUCCAAAGGACCUGCCGUUGUGCUGUGCCCCUCAUCUCGUCAUCCUUCCCUCCAGGUGGCAGAGACGCAUCGAGCGCGCCCAGCGCCCCGUCCCCCAUAGAGGGAAGCCCCACUUUCCAUUCAACCUGACCCAACGUUCAUCCAUUAGUUAACGUAUGGACUAAAAGUUCUGAAUGAGGCUCACAGGUACAUCAGCUCCCCGCUGUGUCUCCGUCCUACUCUCUCCUCACCCCCAGGGCAGCCCCCGGGGUACGUUCUCCAGUCUCUUGUGUCUCCACCACCAGUUCCUCCCUGAGCUUUUCCGCAAAGCUGGGAGAACCCACCCUCCUGUUUUUCAUGGCGGGGGNNNNNNNNNGGGGGGGGGGGGGGGGGGCGGCUGGUCCAGCCCAGUUUUCUCUCUGGAUACAUCCAUCUGGACGGCGUUGUCUCACCCCUGCUCGCGGGGCUCCGUCUUCCCCUUUGAUGGCCCCGAUCCUGGUCCCACAUCUUCCGGCUUGUGGUUUUGAAACUGACAGCACUAAGGACUCAAACCCAGCCUAAACCCUGUUCGGGAGUUGAACCCACGGUUGUUAACAUAGAAUCCCUCACCCGGUGUCCGGACUUACGGAGGGUCAGCUUCUUUGUGUCCCAGCACAGAAGGAAAUCAAGUGAUAAGCAAGAAAUAGAUUUAUGAAGACAGGACGCUCGUGAGAGACGCCAGCGGGCAGGCAGGGGGCCUCUGCCCCGAGGGUCGGGUGGGCUCUGUUUCUAAUCCACCCGGAGUGGGGCUGGGGAAGGACCCCCGCUUCCUCCUUCGUCAAAGUGCUUUUUCCCUUCCGCAGAGGGCGGUCCUUCAACGCCUGCCCUUGGUGCUAAGGAUCUUCUUGGGGCUGAACUUGAACGCAGGCCUCAUUUUAAUGACCUGAGGCAUAGCUGGUGCUUUUAUUUGUGGUUUUGUUAAGCAAGCCGGCUUCUUUCUGAUGACUUUCUGGAGCGACCAUUAACCUCCGUGGUCUCCCGAAGCCCCCUAGGUUUCCCUGUCUCUCUGUGGUCCCCUCCUGGGACUUGCACAACUGCCCGUGUGACUGUCCUGCUCCAUGCCUGUCAGCUGUGUACUCUCCUUUGCUGUUUGGCCUCCGGGAAGUCAGCGGUGGGGGUGGGGGGGCUGUGCACUUUCUGAGUAAGGAGAGUCCCAUUUGUCCCUGGGUGGCGGCAGGGCUGGUCUUGGAAUUCAGUGUGUGGGAACUAUCUCAGCAUGCAUGCCCCACCCUCUCCCAGCCUCCAGGAUGCAGCUGAGAAGUUCAAGUCUACCAUGGCUCCUGGUCGCCUCUGUGACCUGCCCCUGAAAACUGUCCUUUCAACGGUUCAAAACGCAGUGGAGCUUUGCUGGGAUGAAGGCGGUGGCUCCACAUCGUGGGGGGGGGGGGGCCCUGGAGACCCCGAGGCUCGGACGGGUGGUCCCUCCCCUGCCUCCUGCCCCUCCCUCUCCCGCCUCGGCGCCUGCGGGGCCGGUCCUCCCCCACGCCCGUCCCCAUUCCUGCCCCAUUUUCUCUCUUUGAAUCCGUGUCCUCUCUCCAGCCCGUGUCCUCAGAGCUGCCUCCUCAAUCUUCCACCAUCAUCUAAUUAAUGUGCAAGAAUUUGUCUUUUUUGCUGAAUGCUCAUUUUCACGGGCCGUGUUCUUAUUUUGUGAAGGCAUUAUCUCCUCUCAUCUCUGAGUCGCUUUCUCCUUUUCUGGGGGGUUUUCCCCUCCGUUUACUCUCCGUUCCCUUUUCAGUUGGGGUCUGCGUUUCUGUCUCUUGCGCUGGAGGCGUCCUCUGGCGUUGGGGACCCGGGCUCUGUGGCUGUCUUGUGCUCGUGGCUCAGGUUCCGUGACUCUUGGUCUGAUCAUCUGGCCUGGCCCUGGGCCUUCGUCCCCACCCCCGCCACCCUCCCCGGGCCUCUCCAACCCCUGUGUCCUCGCAGUGGCGGUCCCGUCCCCUUUCUGGCUUUGCCCGUGUUGGGCACCGGUUUCCUCAGAUGAGCCCACACGUCCUGCGCCGCUGGGGGACCUCAGAACACACAUCCUUAGCUGUCCAGCCUCGUGACGGAUUUGGAUUCCAGCAGAUUCAGAUGUCGCUGUCGCUGGUCUUCUCCGUGGGCAGGAAGCAGGAUGGUCCGGGAGGGAGGCCGUGGGUGACUGAGGCGCCGUGUGCGUCCCCAGGCCCAGGACGCAGCGCAGGACACAGCAGACCCGGGAGGGGGCUAAGAAUGAGGACAGAGUUUGCUCUCAGGCAGGGCAGGAAAAGCAACUUUGAGAGCUAAAAUUUGUGUUUCUCUUUUCUGUAAGAGACCAAAUAAGAAGGUCCUGGAGUCAACAUAGUCCAAUUUAAGUAAAUGUUAAAAAAAAAAGUCGCUUUGCAGCGUGAAGAGUGGUGUAUUUAUCUGAGAAGUUGGUGUUUUCCUUCCCGAGGCAGUCAGUGGCCGCCCUGGGGCCGGGCUCCUUGCUGCUCGUGGGUGUUAAAAGCCUGUCUGCGUAUAAAUACCCGCUCCAUUGUUCACAGUCGUGUUAAACCCAUGGGCGGAAUUAAUGGAGUGUUUCCUUUCCUCUUUCUCCCCCUUUUGAGAUAAGCUGGUUAAUUGGGAGUUAAUUUGUUUUGGAAUGAUUUGGGCUUUUCUGUUUGAGGCCCGGGACUAAAAGGUCUUGCUUCCAAGGCAUAAAAUUUCCACUCUCAGCCUGAGAAACGCAGGAUGGUUGAAUGACAAAUGCUAUCAGGACUUGGACUUCACUGAUUUUUGCUUCCCCGAUUUCGGUACCCGUGGUCUGCUCCAGGCCUUUAAAACGUGGGAGAGGAACUUGGACCCUACUUGCAGCCAUGGCCUCCGGCUCCCCGCGGAGCAGCCUCGGGGCGGUGCAGGCAGCCUGGGGCCAGGCCAGCUCCCCGUUUUGGGUGGGGCAUAGCUGCAUGGGGCACGGCUGGUUCCUG
rnacentral:lncRNA from 1 species